CGGAGGGUGCAAGCGUUAUCCGGAUUCACUGGGUUUAAAGGGUGCGUAGGCGGGUUUUUAAGUCAGCGGUGAAAGCUCCGAGCUUAACUCGGAAAUUGCCGUUGAUACUAUUAAUCUUGAAUUUAGUUGAGGUGGGCGGAAUGUGUAGUGUAGCGGUGAAAUGCUUAGAUAUUACACAGAACACCUAUUGCGAAGGCAGCUCGCUAAACUAAUAUUGACGCUGAGGCACGAAAGCGUGGGGAUCAAACAGGAUUAGAAACCCUGGUAGUCCACGCCCUAAACGAUGAUUACUCGAUCUGUGCGAUACACUGUACGGGUCUAUGCAAAAGCAUUAAGUAAUCCACCUGGGAAGUACGACCGCAAGGUUG
rnacentral:rRNA from 1 species